AACGAACGCUGGCGGCAUGCCUAACACAUGCAAGUCGAACGAGACCUUCGGGUCUAGUGGCGCACGGGUGCGUAACGCGUGGGAACCUGCCCUUAGGUUCGGAAUAACUCCCCGAAAGGGGUGCUAAUACCGGAUAAUGUCUUCGGACCAAAGAUUUAUCGCCUUUGGAUGGGCCCGCGUUUGAUUAGCUAGUUGGUAGGGUAAAAGCCUAUCAAGGCGACGAUCCAUAGCUGGUCUGAGAGGAUGAUCAGCCACACUGGGACUGAGACACGGCACAGACUACUACGGGAAGCAGCAGUGGGGAAUAUUGGACAAUGGGCGAAAGCCUGAUCCAGCAAUGACGCGUGAGUGAUGAAGGCCUUAGGGUUGUAAAGCUCUUUUAACCGGGAGGAUAAUGACAGUACCGGGAGAAUAAGCUCCGGCUAACUCCGUG
rnacentral:rRNA from 1 species